AUCUGUCUGGCUCAGUUGGUGGAGCAUGAGGCUCUUGAUCUCAGGGUUGUGGGUUUGAGCCCCAUGCUUGUUG
rnacentral:tRNA from 1 species